UACGUAGGGGGCGAGCGUUAAUCGGAAUUACUGGGCGUAAAGCGUGCGCAGGCGGUUGUGCAAGUCAGAUGUGAAAUCCCCGGGCUCAACCUGGGAACUGCAUUUGUGACUGCACGGCUAGAGUGCGGCAGAGGGAGAUGGAAUUCCGCGUGUAGCAGUGAAAUGCGUAGAUAUGCGGAGGAACACCGAUGGCGAAGGCAAUCUCCUGGGCCUGCACUGACGCUCAUGCACGAAAGCGUGGGGAGCAAGCAGG
rnacentral:rRNA from 1 species